rnacentral:lncRNA from 1 species
GAACGUCCUAAACAGACAUAGCCAUCUCACAAAGAUGACUCUCGUACAUUCGACACUAGGAUAAUAGCGCUAUAAAAGAAACCCAAAAUUUUGGUCCAGCACUUCCGGUUGGCUUAAAAAUUAUCUCCGGAGAGAUGCUUGAUUCAUAUCUAACAAGUCCGAGAACCUAUCACGGACUUUAAAUUGGUACGAAUCAGGUUAAAAUCACGACAGGUAAACGAUAGCCGGCUAGUCACCACAUAAAUCUUAAAACCGAAAGUAAACAUAGGUCUUGCCCUAAACCCAGCGCACUGGUCUCUUACAUCUCAAGGCAUGAUAUCCAAAAGAUACGAGAUCCCAAAACCAUGCCUCUAUGUUUAUAUUCGACAUCUUCAGAUAUCCCGCGAAGUCUAUAUCUCGCGGUAAAACUCUCGAAACGGAUCUCGAACAAAACAUUUCACAUCGAAGAAGGAUAUGAGACGACAACUCAUCACCCUUCUUCCACACCAUACGUAAACUUAUGAAAAAUGCAACUCGAUCAUCUUGUCAUAAGAAGAAAGCCGCAGAGCGGCAGGGAUUCAAAGCCACAUACGGCCAGUCCCGAAACAUGAAAUAAGACCAUUUAAGGCUGAAACA